UGCGGGGGGAGCAAGCGUUGUUCGGAUUUACUGGGCGUAAAGGGCGCGUAGGCGGCCAGCACAAGUCAGUUGUGAAAUCUCCGAGCUUAACUCGGAAAGGUCAACUGAUACUGUGCGGCUAGAGUGCGGAAGGGGCAACUGGAAUUCUUGGUGUAGCGGUGAAAUGCGUAGAUAUCAAGAGGAACACCUGCGGCGAAGGCGGGUUGCUGGGCCGACACUGACGCUGAGGCGCGAAAGCCAGGGGAGCGAACGGG
rnacentral:rRNA from 1 species